GGAGAACAUUGGGUUGCAAUUGCGGCAAUCGGGCGAAAUUGAAACAGAGCUUCCUUUAGAAGGGUGGUUCGCUUCUAUCGUUGUUGGACGAAAAGACAGAAUUUCAGUUACUUUCAGACGGUGGGAGCUAGUAAUCGCUGCACUGGAAGGCAAAGCCCUACACUACCAGCAGUUCUUUCACUAGUCCCUUCUUUCCAAUAAUGGGAUGUUUCGAAUCAGUGUUAAGAAUCCCUAUUUGAUUUCUUAUGCAAGUACGGAGUUUUGGGUGAGAUUGUUAUGCAUUAAAAUUUGAUGGUGCAGGGGAGUCUGGGAAGUUAUUUCUACCCUGUUUCUGGAGUUGGAGAAUAAACAGACCAGGUUUGAAGUUAUGACGUUUGACCCCAAGGGUUAAGAGAAACUAAUACCCCAGUAAACUGAAAAGACACAAUGUUUUCUUUAUUUUAUGGCCUCUGGAAGUACCUAUUUAGUAAGACAGAGUUUCAUGUUCUCAUCCUAGGAAUUGACAAGGCGGGGAAAACAACUUUGCUUGAGAAGUUGAAGUCCUUAUACUCAAACUUGGAAGGUCUCUCCCCUGAUCGGAUUGUUCCAACUGUUGGACUCAAUAUUGGGCGUCUUGAGGUGUUGAAUGCAAAGCUUGUCUUCUGGGAUCUGGGAGGUCAGCCUGGCCUUCGGUCUAUUUGGGAAAAAUAUUAUGAAGAGGCACAUGCGGUGAUCUAUGUAAUUGAUGCUGCUUGUCCUUCAAAAUUUGAAGAUUCCAAAUCUGCACUGGAGAAAGUUCUUCGACAUGAGGAUUUGCAAGGAGCUCCACUUUUGGUUUUAGCAAACAAGCAGGAUCUUCCGGAAGCAGUAUCAGCAGAAGAACUUUCUCGUUAUCUCGAUCUUAAAAAAUUGGACGAAAGAGUCUACAUGUUUGAAGCUGUUUCUGGCUAUGAUGGGAUGGGGAUAAAGGAAAGUGUUGAAUGGUUGGUGGAUAUAAUGGAAAGAAGUAAAAGAACCGAAAUAUUGAGAGCUCGAGCAGGUGGGGCUGGUCUGGGUUCUAUUUAGAUCAAAUAUGAAACAAUCAUAGUUGGUCUAUAUUUCUUCCAUAAACUUGUGAAAAACCCAGGUGUUAGAGGCCCCUAAUUCAUUACAUCCUCCUGUCUGAGAGCGUUCACUCGAUCUGGCUUCCUGUUAUCUAGCUUUACUACAAAAUGUAAAGAUAAUCUUGAUUACAUGGCUAAUUGGUAGCUUUAGAAUUUCCACCUGCAAAAGUACAGAAUUACGUGUUUGAACCUGGGAAUGUUUUCAUAGGCAUUCUUGGCUGGGAAUGUUUUCAUAGGCAUUCUUGGCUGACCAUGUUUCAUACAAGUGAUUUAAAUUUUGUCAUCCUUAAGUCGUAUAAAGUUGUUACAUUUUAAAGUGUUAAA